GCCGUCGUAGCCCAAUGGUAGGGCGUCGCUUUCCUAUAUCCGUGGAGCGGACACAUAUAGGCGAAGGUUGCGGGUUCGAGUCCCGUCGUCGGUA
rfam:Phlebia centrifuga strain FBCC195 PHLCENscaffold_2728, whole genome shotgun sequence.